AGUGAACGCUGGCGGUAGGCCUAACACAUGCAAGUCGAACGGCAGCACAGUAAUAGCUUGCUCUUACGGGUGGCGAGUGGCGGACGGGUGAGGAAUACAUCGGAAUCUACUUUUUCGUGGGGGAUAACGUCGGGAAACUUACGCUAAUAACGCAUACGACCUACGGGGGAAAGCAGGGGAUCUUCGGACCUUGCGCGAUUGAAUGAGCCGAUGUCGGAUUAGCUAGUUGGGGGGGUAAAGGCCCACCAAGGCGACGAUCCGUAGCUGGUCUGAGAGGAUGACCAGCCACACUGGAACUGAGACACGGCCCAGACUCCUACGGGAGGCAGCAGUGGGGAAUUUUGGACAAUGGGCGCAAGCCUGAUCCAGCCAUACCGCGUGCGUGAAGAAGGCCUUCGGGUUGUAAAGCCCUUUUGUUGGGGAAGAAAAGCUGCAGGCUAAUACCCCGGUGUUAUGACGGUACCCAAAGAAUAAGCACCGGCUAACUUCGUG
rnacentral:rRNA from 1 species